UACGUAGGGCGCGAGCGUUGUCCGGAAUUAUUGGGGCGUAAAGAGCUCGUAGGCGGCUUGUCACGUCGGGUGUGAAAGCCCGGGGCUUAACCCCGGGUCUGCAUUCGAUACGGGCUAGCUAGAGUGUGGUAGGGGAGAUCGGAAUUCCUGGUGUAGCGGUGAAAUGCGCAGAUAUCAGGAGGAACACCGGUGGCGAAGGCGGAUCUCUGGGCCAUUACUGACGCUGAGGAGCGAAAGCGUGGGGAGCGAACAGG
rnacentral:rRNA from 1 species